rnacentral:rRNA from 1 species
CCUACGGGAGGCAGCAGUGGGGAAUUUUGGACAAUGGGCGAAAGCCUGAUCCAGCAAUGCCGCGUGAGUGAAGAAGGCCUUCGGGUUGUAAAGCUCUUUUGUCAGGGAAGAAACGGUGAGAGCUAAUAUCUCUUGCUAAUGACGGUACCUGAAGAAUAAGCACCGGCUAACUACGUGCCAGCAGCCGCGGUAAUACGUAGGGUGCAAGCGUUAAUCGGAAUUACUGGGCGUAAAGCGUGCGCAGGCGGUUUUGUAAGUCUGAUGUGAAAUCCCCGGGCUCAACCUGGGAAUUGCAUUGGAGACUGCAAGGCUAGAAUCUGGCAGAGGGGGGUAGAAUUCCACGUGUAGCAGUGAAAUGCGUAGAUAUGUGGAGGAACACCGAUGGCGAAGGCAGCCCCCUGGGUCAAGAUUGACGCUCAUGCACGAAAGCGUGGGGAGCAAACAGGAUUAGAUACCCUGGUAGUCCACGCCCUAAACGAUGUCUACUAGUUGUCGGGUCUUAAUUGACUUGGUAACGCAGCUAACGCGUGAAGUAGACCGCCUGGGGAGUACGGUCGCGAAGAUUAAAACGUCGAAAGGAUUGACGG